rnacentral:rRNA from 1 species
AAACGGGUGCGGAACACGUACGCAACUUACCCUGAACUGGGGGAUAGCCCACCGAAAGGUGGAUUAAUACCUCGUAACAUCUUGUAGUGGCAUCACUGUAAGAUUAUAGCUCCGGCGGUUCAGGAUGGGCGUGCGGCCCAUUAGGUAGUUGGUAGAGGUAACGGCUCACCAAGCCUGCGAUGGGUAACUGGUGUGAGAGCACGACCAGUCACACGGGCACUGAGACACGGGCCCG